rnacentral:rRNA from 1 species
URCCUUUUGCAUCAUGCUUAGAUGAUUUUAUGAUUAAUUAGUCUUUAACCGAAAGCUCUGGAUUUCAUUUAUAACUGCUUGGAGUACAAAGUCAAGUAGACUUCUUAAGAUUGUAAAUGCGUUGUGAAAAAUUAAACGUCAGGGUUGAUAACUGUUUAACAACUUAUAAAAUUUAAAUUAUCUUUGAGGUUAUGAGAUCCCACAGACGUAUAUAUUUAAAGUCUAUUGUUUUUAUAGUAAUAGGGUUAAAAGUACCCAUUUAUUGUAACAUUGUUCAAAAGUUGUAAGAUUUGAAAUUAAAUUAUAUGUAAAGGUUGUUUAACUAAACAAAUUGUAAUUAAGAAUAUCUGAAUAAGUAAUAAUAAAAGAAUAACUAUUUCUCAAGCAUUGCCCGUCUGUUUAUUAAAAACAUUUCCAUAUAAAAGAUUUUAUGGUAGUACCUGCUCUAUGCGCGAUAUGUAAAUGGCCGCAGUAUUUUGACUGUGCAAAGGUAGCAUAAUUAAUUGCCUUAUAAUUGAAGGCUUGUUUGAAUGGUUUGACGAGGUGAUUGCAAAUAUUUAUUUUUUAGGUGAAAUUAGUUUGGAGGGCACAGAAUCCUCCAUAAAUUAAUUAGACGGAAAGACCCCAGGAUCUUUUAUUUUUGUCUGGGGCAGAUGAGAAUUUUUCAUUCACAUUUUGACCCUUGUUGGUCCAUUGGUUAAAGUUACCCUGGGGAUAACAGUGUAAUAGUCUAUAAGAGACCUUAUCGAGUAGACUGUUUGCUACCUCGAUGUUGACUUAGGUAAAUAAACUGGGCGCAGUAGUCUAGUGUUUGGGUCUGUUCGACCACAUAUACCUCCAUGAGUUGAGUUAAGACCGGCGUAAGCCAGGUCGGUUCUUAUCUAUU